UACGUAGGGUGCAAGCGUUGUCCGGAAUUAUUGGGCGUAAAGAGCUCGUAGGCGGUCUGUUGCGUCGGCUGUGAAAACCCGGGGCUCAACCCCGGGCCUGCAGCCGAUACGGGCAGACUAGAGUUUGGUAGAGGAGAACGGAAUUCCCGGUGUAGCGGUGGAAUGCGCAGAUAUCGGGAGGAACACCCGUAGCGAAGGCGGUUCUCUGGGCCAAUACUGACGCUGAGGAGCGAAAGCGUGGGGAGCAAACAGG
rnacentral:rRNA from 1 species